CUCCUCCAAGCCGACGUCUUUGAGCUCAUCAAAGAAGUCUCCCUCAAGGACCGCGAGCUCAGGAUUGUGGACGAGGUCGGUGCCAAGAUCCGAGUCUUAGACUUCAUUUCUCCCGAUGUCCAGGAGCGAACGCGAUGGUCUUGAAGUUGUUAGAAAUCCAAAGAGGCCUAUCGGCGCUUGGAUACAUUACUAUAACGAUCAAUUAGCCAUGAUGAAAGAGAAGGAUAAAGGAGU